rnacentral:rRNA from 1 species
AAGAAGCCCCGGCUAACUACGUGCCAGCAGCCGCGGUAAUACGUAGGGCGCGAGCGUUAUCCGGAAUUAUUGGGCGUAAAGAGCUCGUAGGCGGUUUGUCGCGUCUGCUGUGAAAGCCCGGGGCUCAACCCCGGGUCUGCAGUGGGUACGGGCAGGCUGGAGUGCAGUAGGGGAGACUGGAAUUCCUGGUGUAGCGGUGAAAUGCGCAGAUAUCAGGAGGAACACCGAUGGCGAAGGCAGGUCUCUGGGCUGUAACUGACGCUGAGGAGCGAAAGCAUGGGGAGCGAACAGGAUUAGAUACCCUGGUAGUCCAUGCCGUAAACGUUGGGCACUAGGUGUGGGGGCCAUUCCACGGUUUCCGCGCCGCAGCUAACGCAUUAAGUGCCCCGCCUGGGGAGUACGGCCGCAAGGCUAAAACUCAAAGGAAUUGACGGGGGCCCGCACAAGCGGCGGAGCAUGCGGAUUAAUUCGAUGCAACGCGAAGAACCUUACCAAGGCUUGACAUGUGCCGGACCGUCCCAGAGAUGGGGCUUCCCUUCGGGGCCGGUUCACAGGUGGUGCAUGGUUGUCGUCAGCUCGUGUCGUGAGAUGUUGGGUUAAGUCCCGCAACGAGCGCAACCCUCGUUCCAUGUUGCCAGCACUUCGGGUGGGGACUCAUGGGAGACUGCCGGGGUCAACUCGGAGGAAGGUGGGGACGACGUCAAAUCAUCAUGCCCCUUAUGUCUUGGGCUUCACGCAUGCUACAAUGGCCGGUACAAAGGGUUGCGAUACUGUGAGGUGGAGCCAAUCCCAGAAAGCCGGUCUCAGUUCGGAUUGGGGUCUGCAACUCGACCCCAUGAAGUCGGAGUCGCUAGUAAUCGCAGAUCAGCAACGCUGCGGUGAAUACGUUCCCGGGCCUUGUACACACCGCCCGUCAAGUCACGAAAGUCGGUAACACCCGAAGCCGGUGGCCUCUA